rnacentral:rRNA from 1 species
GGGAUAACCUUGCGAAAGUAAGACUAAUACCCAAUGAUAUCUCUAGAAGGCAUCUGAAAGAGAUUAAAGAUUUAUCGGUGAUGGAUGGGGAUGCGUCUGAUUAGCUUGUUGGCGGGGUAACGGCCCACCAAGGCAACGAUCAGUAGGGGUUCUGAGAGGAAGGUCCCCCACAUUGGAACUGAGACACGGUCCAAACUCCUACGGGAGGCAGCAGUGAGGAAUAUUGGUCAAUGGACGAGAGUCUGAACCAGCCAAGUAGCGUGCAGGAAGACGGCCCUAUGGGUUGUAAACUGCUUUUAUAAGGGAAUAAAGUGAGUCUCGUGAGACUUUUUGCAUGUACCUUAUGAAUAAGGACCGGCUAAUUCCGUGCCAGCAGCCGCGGUAAUACGGAAGGUCCGGGCGUUAUCCGGAUUUAUUGGGUUUAAAGGGAGCGUAGGCCGGAGAUUAAGCGUGUUGUGAAAUGUAGAUGCUCAACAUCUGAACUGCAGCGCGAACUGGUUUCCUUGAGUACGCACAAAGUGGGCGGAAUUCGUGGUGUAGCGGUGAAAUGCUUAGAUAUCACGAAGAACUCCGAUUGCGAAGGCAGCUCACUGGAGCGCAACUGACGCUGAAGCUCGAAAGUGCGGGUAUCGAACAGGAUUAGAUACCCUGGUAGUCCGCACGGUAAACGAUGGAUGCCCGCUGUUGGUCUGAAUAGGUCAGCGGC